rnacentral:rRNA from 1 species
UGAGCAAUCUGCCCUUCUCUUUGGAGUAAGCGUUGGAAACGACGUCUAAUGCCGAAUACGACCUCCUUUCGCAUGAUCGGAGGUGGAAAGCUCCGGCGGAGAAGGAUGAGCUCGCGGCCUAUCAGCUAGUUGGUGUGGGUAACGGCCCACCAAGGCGAUGACGGGUAGCCGGCCUGAGAGGGUGACCGGCCACACUGGGACUGAGACACGGCCCAGACCUCCUACGGGAGGCAGCG